rnacentral:rRNA from 1 species
UGCCAGACUCCUACGGGAGGCAGCAGUGAGGAAUAUUGGUCAAUGGCCGAGAGGCUGAACCAGCCAAGUCGCGUGAGGGAUGACGGCCCUACGGGUUGUAAACCUCUUUAGGCGGGGAGCAAUGCCGGGCACGCGUGUCCGGAGGGAGAGUACCCGCAGAAUAAGCAUCGGCUAACUCCGUGCCAGCAGCCGCGGUAAUACGGAGGAUGCGAGCGUUAUCCGGAUUUAUUGGGUUUAAAGGGUGCGUAGGCGGAUUUUUAAGUCAGCGGUAAAAUGUCCGGGCUCAACCCGGGCCGGCCGUUGAAACUGGAGAUCUUGAGUGGGCGAGAAGUAUGCGGAAUGCGUGGUGUAGCGGUGAAAUGCAUAGAUAUCACGCAGAACUCCGAUUGCGAAGGCAGCAUACCGGCGCCCGACUGACGCUGAGGCACGAAAGCGUGGGGAUCGAACAGGAUUAGAUACCCUCGUAC